GUCCAGCUCAGAGACACAGAUGAUGUUGUGGUUCCAGUCACAUUCAGAUUCCUGACUACUUCAGGAUCUGUGAGUGCGCUGAACAUGUGAA